rnacentral:piRNA from 1 species
UUUCUUCUGACUGUGUGUAGGUGCU